UCCGGUGAGAUUCCGGAGCGGUCCCGCCACUGUGAGACACCCCCAUGCGGUGCAGCCAGA
rnacentral:sRNA from 23 species